UCCUCUCUGAUGGCAUUGAAGCAAAGAGGACGAACUUCCGAUUGCGCUGCGUUUUGAACGCCUUACCUACGUAUGACGUCAGCCGACGUACAUACUAUAUUUAAUAAAAGCACGCAACAUUUUCAAAAUAAAAUGCCCCAAAACAAUUAAUAAAAACAAAUAAUAUAUAUAUAUAAAAAAUAACAAAAAUGAUUUAUAAUCUGGUGUAACAAACAUAUCCCUGCUACAUCCACCCCCACUGUUUUACACCAGAUUAUGCAUUACAUACAAAGUCUUGCUAAAUUAGCGAAGGAUGUCACAUUCUCUGAAAUCACAUUAGAUUCGUUCAGUUCUGAACUAUCUCUUUCGAGAUUAAGGAAACCCAGGGUAGCUAAUCCCCAAAUAACCCAUAGAAAACCAUGCCUUGUACAUAGUUCUACACAUGACACCAACAAUGUACCGUUAAUGUACUCAUUACACUCCCAUUUAACAAAAACAAGCAGAAAAAAAAUGAAAGUCUUUUAACUCUUUAACAAACCUAUUUGUUGUUCUCAAUUGAACAGUUCAAAUUUCAUGAAUUUCAUACACUCUCUGAGUUGACAUUGACUGUAUCAGUCUGUUAACAGGCUUAAUCAAUCUCCCAAAUCUUGACCUAAAGCCAUCUUGUAGACCAGAGACUCUUUCAUUCUCCUGAUCUUGCACACUGGACAAUGUCAUAGGAAUUUCUGCAACAGUUGAAGUACACUCAUCAACUUCAGAAACACAGUCAUCACUUAGAACUGCUGAUACAGAAGAAUCAUCAGACACCAAUGAACACCCAGAUAAAAUAGAGUUGGGCAAGUCGUCCGACUUUGCGUUACACACAGGUGCUCCAGACAUCUCAGAGUCACAUUUCACAACUGUGUCACCAAUAGCUUCACUCUCAUCAGCAUUAGUGCACUCCACAGACUCUAUUUGUGUCACAUCUGUGGCAGCAUCAAGAUCUGCAACCCAGCGAGAGGUUCGAUCAUCACUCUGAGUUUGAUCAUCUUCAUCACCUGACACACAGACAGUGGAAUCCUCGACAUCAUCAACACCAUCACUACCAUCAUUACAAGAUGGCACCGGGAGGAAAUUGACAGGCAUCAACAGAUUACGAUGUACGGUUUUGGUACGACCUGUCCCAGGAUUUCUUAUCUGACUCCCAGAAGAACCGCUGCCUAGCCAACCAGAGCGUGCGAUGCUGACCCUGAUGACCAGCGUUAUCAUGCACUCCCUUCAGAACAGUACAUCGAAGAGCUGCUGGCACUACAAACUGGUAAGUAUUCUUCUUAGAAACCGGAUUCUUAGACACUCUGUAUAAGACACCCAACCUUAAGACAAGUUUACCCCAUUGGCGUAGUAUUUUCACAGUUCUUUUAGACUCGAACACUUUUUCUCUGCGAGAUGGACGUCUGCCCCUCUCCACAAAGAACUUCACUCUAUCAAUCGCAGGAUCCUGACUCUGCUUCUCCAGCAAUUCAUCAUGAGUUAGGCUGCGGAGCUCACUCUGCUCUACGUCUACCAAACUCUCUAAAUGCUGAACAUACGACAUGCUUCUAAUGGCUGCACCAUGCUCCCAGUCACGGUGAGAAUGAAGAACAGCUGACAAAUCUUGGUUAGACACUUUGCCAGUAAGGGAAGUGUACCCUACAUACACAUUUCCACCUACAUUCACAGGCUCUGACAGCCCAUCCACCACUUCACCAUCCUCACGUUCACACGACAAAUGGAACAUGUCCUGCACCUGCUUGACAGCAACAGACUCUGCUUCAUGCAGCAAAACAUCGUAAGGUGUCCUCGUCAAUCUGUGUAAAAUUCUCGAAGUCGCAAACGGUUCCCUGCUUAAUGCAUCUGCCACUAUAUUUUUCGGACCGGGGAUAUACUGAAUAUCAAAAUCGUAAGGCGCCAGCUUCGCUACCCACCGUUGUUCACAUGCAUCCAGCUUGGGCUUUGUGAGGAUGUACUUGAGUGGGUUAUUAUCAGUCCACACAGUAAAUCUGUGUCCCCGCAGCCAGUGACUGAACUUAUCACAAAUAGCCCACUUCAUUGACAAAAACUCAAGUCUGUGUGCUGGGUACUUCGACUGUACAUGAUUCAAAGACUUUGACGCAAAGGCAAUAGGCCUUGCCACAGCACAUCCCUCCUGAACCUGCGACAAAACGGCCCCGAGCCCACUAGUGGAGGCAUCCACAGACAACAGAAACGGCUUUGAAAAAUCUGGGUGCGCAAGCAAAACCUGACUCACCAAGGCAGACUUCAAACUCUCCAGAGCAGCUCUGCAGUCAUCAGUCCAAUCUGUUGGAGAAAGUGUACGAUUUCUUUUCAUUCGUUUUACACCCCUCCCCACUAUAGGUCUUUUCUGUCCUGUCAACAGCUGAAACAAGGGUUUAGCCAGCAUAGAACAAUUUUCUAUGAAAUGCUGGUAGUACACCACCAUACCUAAAAAGGAUCUGAUUUUACUCGUUGACGGCGUAACACAAUCACUCUCCAUCAAAUCCUUCUCAGAUAUAUUCACUAGGCAUCAAUUUUCGCUGGAUCACUGGCCACCCCCUCUUCAGACACAAUAUGACCCAGAAAUUUUACAGACUUCCGCAAGAACCUACAUUUUGAUGGAGACAAUUUCAAAUUGUGGUCUUUUAGACGCCGAAAUACCAUCUCCAGCCUUUCCAAGCUCACCUCUUCUGUCUUUCCGAAAACUAACAAAUCAUCUAAAUAACAAAGAAGGCUCAAGAAAUUCUGGUCACCAAACACAGUCAACAUCAUUCUCAUAAAUGUUGCUGGGCUGUUACAGAGUCCCUGGGGCAAACGAUUGUAUUCAUGGAGCCCCAUUGGCGAACAGAACGCCGUGAACUUCUUGUCAUCUUCGUGCAAUGGGAUGUUAUAGUACCCGGAAGUCAGAUCCAUAGUACUAAAGUAUGCGUUCCCACCCAGCGCUGCAAGAACAUCUGAUUGGUGAGGAAGAGGAUGAGCAUCCUUCACCGUGCGUGCGUUUAACCAUCAGAAAUCAGUGCAUAUCCUUAAAUCACCAUUUUUCUUCCACACUAAAACCAAUGGUGACGCAUACUCACUGCUCGACUUCCUAAUGAUCUCCUUGUCCUCCAUUUCAUCUAAAGUCUCUUUCAACUUCAAGUAAUGAGCAGGAGAAAGACGCCGGUAUGGAAGACGAAAGGGCCUAUCGUCGGUAACUCUGAUACGAUGACAAAAACCUUUCGCUUCACCACAGUCCAAACUGUGCCUGGAAAACACACACUCAUAUUUUUCAAUGAGAUCUACCAACUUGUUCUUCCAAAAGGGAGACACUUCACAAUCCCAGACAUUCAAGUCGCUCAGCCCCAGGUCAUCCAACCUGCUGUCACCUAUCAAACUUGCUCCAGAUGUAGAGCCACCCACAGUAAGACUACCACAUGACUUGUCAGAACGUACCGCACCUACAUUUUGACUAAGCACUCUGUCAGUGGUUUGAUCAAGGUCCUCCAAAGCGACGCAAGGAUACACAUCGGCCACCUUCGCAUUUUUCCUCAACACAAUUUCUGCAUUGGUCGGGUUGAUCAUCUUUACUGGAAGCCAGCCAUCGACCCUCAAAGGUGAAACAACCCUCCCAAUCAGCACAUUCCGAUGCGCGCAACGUGAAGUACUCGGUUCAAUGACCACUGUGCUCCCUACUGACAGUACUGACCCUGGAGGCAAACGACCCCAAACAAGAUGUUCACUCCUUGGCUGGAGUGUCACAGCUGACCUCAGUCUCAGAGUACCCACCUUGUCAGGAAUCGAAUCACCCCUCCAUCUUUCGAUACAAGAAAGCAUGCGUAAAAACUGGCCAUUUUCAGAUUGCACAGUCGAGUCAGGUCUCUUUACCACUUUCCAAAAUUGGUCUGUACGCUUCAUCUGACUUAUUAGAGGUUUCAAGACAUUUGUGCCAAGUAUGAUCGGGUCCUUUUGACCCCUUACAAUCAGAACUGGGACAAUGAAACUGACCCCGUACACUUCAAGCUUCAGAUUGCACACACCAUCUGGAGUAGUUUGUUUGCCACCACAACCCACCAAGACAAUAUCUGAAGAGCUCAGGAUAUCCUGGUCCAGCACCCCAGCGUCUCCAAGUUGAGGAAGAACUUCCGCACUCAGAGUGGUCGCCAUGGAGCCACUGUCCAACAUCCCCCGAAGCUCAACUUUGUCCUGUAGUAACACACUUGUAUAAAAUAAACUGUUACUUUGAUCAACUUGCAUGCUGUUCUGGAAAAUGACUGGUUUUUUUUUGCCAACACUCUCACAGAAGAAGGAAUAUACAGACUCAAAAUCAUUCUCAGAGGAAUUACACAGCCCCACUUCGCCCUCUGCCCGAAGGGAGCUGUCUAGUUUCCCUGAGACGCAACUUUGUCAUGCUGACCGGAGCCCACCCUGGACGUUACUCUAUGACUGUCGCAGCUGUAGCUCGCGUGUCCAGCCGCAAAACACUUGAAACACAAAUUAUACAUUUUACAAUGAGCAGUCGUGCUGUGCUCACUGCUUUGACACACUCUGCAUUCUCGAAUCUUAUUGCCCGUUCGUUUAGGCCAGGGGCCUUGUACAGACUGAGUGUUGCACACUAACGCUUUUUCAAGCAAAGACAGGACUUUGUCCAAUGCAUUCUCGUCAGCUACGCCCCCACCCUGUUCAGACUUAGACGAUGAGACAGGCACAUCCACGUCUGGCUCUGAGACAACCGUGGUGAAUUGUUUGACAGUGUGAUUCGUCAACUUACGUUCCCUUAACAACUCGUCAAGCUGCUCCUGCACCUCAGAUGCAUUCCAUGACUGUACAGGCUUACUCUUAAAAACGAAAGCUAACUCUUUGUCAGGGGAGUUACGAAUGAACAUUACGGCUACCUCUUUGCUCCUGUUAUCCAGAGAUCUGCCUUCCCAUCUUAAACUUUGCUCUGCAACAUCCGCUGCCUUGUUUAGUCUUAUCCAAAAAUCCCAAGUGGUCUCUCUGGGAUAUGGUCUCACAGAAUAGAAGUCAGCUAAUGGAAUACCUGAACUGCUCUGGUCCCCAAAGUGCUGCUUCAAAACAGAAAAUACAGAGUCAACAGAAGGAGUUGUAGAACCAUUGCGCAGCCAUACUCUCAUUACAUCCCUGGCCCGCCCCAUAACUCUGUUCAUUAUCUCAUCAACCAGUUCAGACUCUGUCACCUCAAGUUUGUUUAAAUACACCCUCAUCAUGUCUUCCCAUUCCAUGACUGAGUAUUUGUCCGAACCGUCUCCUCGAAAGUGUGGUGGUGCGGAAACCUCAGCUUUCAGGAUCAAGUUCAUUUUUGACGCGUCAAUGACAGUAGUAUUAGAGGGGUCAGUCACAUGACCACUGACACCUUCUCGGAACUUCCCUGCAGAUGGAUGAUUAGAAAAGUCAGGCCUCAUCAUACUCUCUCUAAUUGAUUGCCCAAUCUCAAUACCAAUUUGUUUUAUGAGGUUACUCAUCUGACCAGACAUUUCUGACUCAUGAGGAGCGAAGUCAUAGUUACUGGCUGCAGCGAUUGGACUACUGCACAUUUGGACUCUGUCAUCGGGGGAAAGACCAAUUGCUCUACCCCGACCCGUACUACAGUACUCAGGAUCUUCAAACAGCUUUGAUCUGUCAGGCGUAUUCAAAAGACUGCCCCGCCCUCUACCAGCUGUAAACGUGUUGUCCCACCCCAAAUCACUUCGUUUAGCAGCCAUUUCGCUCAGGCGUCAGAAUACACUCUCAAAACACAAAAAUAUUAAUAAAACAAAAUAAAUCAAUGUAAAAGAAACAGUUUAAAUUCAGAAAAGUGAAGGAAAAAGAGAAAAAAAAUUAUUUGACCUUAAACCUCAUAUAAAGCUCAGUCCACUUUUUUUUUCAAAAGUCCUCCUGUCAAAAAAAAAAAAAAAAAAAAGUCAAUUGAUGACGUGAAGUACCUUCAUUUACAGUUCAGACAAAACAAGUUAGGCGGCGACACUCCUCGAUGAUCCAGCACGCUGCUCACUCGAUCCACCUUAGACACAAAUCACCAGUUUAACAGUCUGUGUUACCCACCUGCGUCUUCAGCGUUGAAUUUCUGCAACUCAGUUUAUCAGCAGUCUCCUCCUCGCAACAGCUCAAUCCGUCAGACGUCCAAACGCCGCCGAAGAAACAGCAACAGAUGACAGAAGCUCCGUCCUGCCUCCAGCUCCCCUCAUCGGUAGUCACACACCACGUCAGCAAUCCCGGCGGUCGACAACGAUCAACCAGCCGACGGGUCACGGCACCAGUUUUGUAGCGGUUGUUCCUCUGCGUUGUGUUGAUUUUUGAUGGUGAAUAAAAUAAUUUUCCACACAAAGCUGGUUUUUACCAUAGAUGUUUUAAUCUCAGUGCCUGUGCAGCAAAACAAGUAAACAGACAGGCACCGUUAUCCACAAAUGCUCUUAUUUUGCCUCUCCUCUCUGAUGGCAUUGAAGCAAAGAGGACGAACUUCCGAUUGCGCUGCGUUUUGAACGCCUUACCUACGUAUGACGUCAGCCGACGUACAUACUAUAUUUAAUAAAAGCACGCAACAUUUUCAAAAUAAAAUGCCCCAAAACAAUUAAUAAAAACAAAUAAUAUAUAUAUA